UACGUAGGCAGCGAGCGUUGUUCGGAGUUACUGGGCGUAAAGAGUGCGUAGGCGGUUUUCUAAGUUUGGUGUGAAAUCUCCCGGCUCAACUGGGAGGGUGCGCCGAAGACUGGAAGGCUUGAGUAUGGGAGAGGUAAGCGGAAUUCCUGGUGUAGCGGUGAAAUGCGUAGAUAUCAGGAGGAACACCAAUUGCGAAGGCAGCUCGCUGGGACGUUACUGACGCUGAGACGCGAAAGCGUGGGGAGCAAACAGG
rnacentral:rRNA from 1 species